GACUGCAAGCACAAGUGCUUCUACUUCAGCAACAGAGAACGGACGCCUGAUCCUGCGUUGCCCCUGCUCUGGUGACCUCUUUGACUUAUUCACUGGAACUACAGCCCCUGCAUUGGGAUCUGCAGGUGGAACAGGAACUAAAGCUCGCGAGUUUGUGGACACUUUAUCAGGUGAUGAGAAGCCCCCAGGGGAUUGCACUGAAUCAUGGUCGCUGCCAUGAUAGUUCAUUGCUAAGGGAGUUAGUGCAAGAUCCUGGGAGACAUCGACUUCACCAUGCUUGGAAGAUGAGUCAGCAGGCGCAAUCCUGUAUCGAAUAAGUUCACCAGUCUGGGUCAGGUUUAACUGCGGAGGCACCUCAAGUUAUAGCAUGCCAGUGAAUUGUUUAGAAGCAUAGUUUUUUUUUUUUUACCUUGCGAGGGGUUCAGUAGUAUCAAUGGUUUCCAGGAAACUGGUAUCUUCAGGAGCUUGGGCUUGCGACAGGUUGUGCGUACAGUUGGGCUCGAGUGAAAAACCAAGG
rnacentral:lncRNA from 1 species